rnacentral:piRNA from 1 species
UUCUCUUUCUCAUAUUCGGGUCCCUGGUU